UACCAGCCUGUCCUGCACUAAACUAAACUAAACGCGACUCAUUCACCUGAACGUUUUGAAUCGUCUCACAGUUUGUAUCACUUCGCCCAAAUAGCCAAGAGUUUCCUGACUGUUAGUCAUUUCCAGCCUUUUAAUAAAGUGGAGGGAACCUGACGGGGAGGGAAAUUCACCACGUCCGCCACAGUGGCUGUGUUUGAAGUUCAUUCAUAAAAAUAAUUUUGGGGACAAAGUUCGUCAUGAAUUAAGAAAUUUAGAAAUAAUGUUUUGGUCGAUUCACUCAUGUCUUAUCACUCAAACAGACUCCUGGGUGGAUUCAGUCAGGCGUGAGAACAGACCUUAACACUAAAAAGAAGGUUGACUCAAGGUCACAAGGUCGAUUCUGACCAAUGCCUUGCCAGAGAAGCAGGACGAAAUUAAAUUAAAUCUUUAGCAGAUGGUUUCCAUGUCACCUCUUAAAUCCAGGGAAUUAAAUGUAAUCGUAAACAUCAACCAGACCAGAGCAAAGUUAUGAGGGUAGAUCAGAUCAAGAUGUACUCAUUUUUAAGGUGUAUCUAAUAAUAACUAAAAAAAGUCAGAAAUUAAGUCGAUUUCAUUUGUUUAGAUGAGACAAAGAAACAGGAUGUGACCUGGUCUGUAGACGGACGCCUCCAAUGGAAACACAGGCUGCAGAUGUGUUUAACUUCAGACCUAAACUGAGGAGAUGAAAAGAAAAAAAGAAUUGUUAUUGACAUGAAUAUUCAUGAAAGUUUUUUCAAAUUUUCUUAGGAAUAUUUUUCUUACCUUCAGUAUUUUUCUUUGGUCUAAAAAAUAAUGAAGCAAAGUCAACAUGGCAGAUUAAGGAAAAAAUAUUCAAAAUAAAGCACUGGUUAAUUAGGGAUUAACAAACACAAAAUUCACGCCUUCAAAUUUACCAUCGUGUCGUCUUAUUGAAACUGAAAAUCGUUCGUCAUCCAACAUCGCGGACCAUCUCUGACCAAUCAAUAAACUACAUAAAAAAAUCCUUAUUGGGAACUAAAUUAAACAAUUUCUCAGGAAUGAACACAGUCAGCGGUGGUGCAGGUCACUUUCCCUCCACGUCACAUCUCCUGCUUCUCUACUCUUUGUAUAGAACAUCACGUUUUCUGUAUUUUUCUUUUUUUCCUUUUUUUUUUUUUUAAAUGAAGUACUUGAAUGAAACAAUGCUCACUUUGAAAAAACAAACAAAAAAAAAACAAUUGUAGAGUUAACAACCAAGAAACCUUGUUUGAGAGAUUAACCACGAGUCAACAACUACUGGACUAUUUGGAUUCCUAUAAUUUUGCUGUACUAAACCCAUGUCUGUGUAUUUGAUGUUUUAAUCAGAUGCAUUGUAAUUUGAAUAAACGUUGCAGUAUAUAAAGGUA